ensembl:snoRNA
CAGACUAUACUUUCAGGGAUCGUUUCUAUAGUUUGUUACUAGAGAACUUUCUCUGAAUGUGUAGAGCACCAGAAAUCAUGAGGAAGAGGCAUAGCAUUCUCUCCUGAGCAUGAAGCCAGUUUUUGGCGUUGCUUCAAUGCAACUGCCUUCUGCCCUUGAUGAUCAUUCUUCUCUCCUCCCUGGAGAGGAAGAGUAAGAUGAUGCAGUCUGAGUGGUU